AACGAACGCUGGCGGCGUGUUUAAGACAUGCAAGUCGCACGGGACAAGUUGAGUAGUAAUACGAUUCUUGUUUAGUGGCGCACGGGUGAGUAACAUGUGAAUUACAUGCCCUUCAGUGGGGAAUAGCCCAGGGAAACUUGGAUUAAUACCCCAUGGUAUCGCAAGAUUAAAGGUGGCCGCAAGGCUGUCGCUGAAGGAUUGGUUCGCACCCUAUCAGCUUGUUGGUGAGGUAAUGGCUCACCAAGGCUACGACGGGUACCUGGUCUGAGAGGACGAUCAGGCACACUGGAACUGAGACACGGUCCAGACACCUACGGGUGGCAGCAGUCGAGAAUAAUUCACAAUGGGGGCAACCCUGAUGGUGCAACGCCGCGUGGAGGAUGACGGUCUUCGGAUUGUAAACUCCUGUCAUCUGGGAGUAAGACCUGGCGAUGAAUAGUCGACAGGGUUGAUAGUACCAGAAGAGGAAGGGACGGCUAACUUCGUGCCAGCAGCCGCGGUAAUACGAAGGUCCCAAGCGUUGUUCGGAAUCACUGGGCGUAAAGGGAGCGUAGGCGGCGUGGUAAGUCAGAUGUGAAAUCCCGGGGCUCAACCCCGGAACUGCAUCCGAUACUGCCAUGCUAGAGGAUUGGAGAGGUAGC
rnacentral:rRNA from 1 species